AUACUAGUAAGCCUCUACAAGCACGCUGAGAUUGAUCCGACUCUUCGACAUAUCGCAGCUUACCGCAUUGGCCCCUAUUUCAUGACUAAUAGGACGAUUGUGAAUUCAGUAUUUGAAAAGUACGGUGAGAUAGAACGCUGCAGGUUUGAUGAAGAUGGUGUUCAAGUAUUAUUCAAGCACCGAAACAGUGCAUGGAAAGUGCUGAAAGAACCAUAUCUAAAAUUGGUGACUACCUCACAAGGUGCAUGCGACCAUCAGGGAGCCGUGCCAUGCAUUUUUGGACGGACUGUUGAACAAUGAGCACUAGCCACCCGCAUCUUUAGGUGGGUGUCUUUAGAUUCAUCAAACGUUUUGGACUCUAGUGAUUUGUCAAACGGAAAGUUUUGGACUGGUGAUUUUGUAUGAACUUCCUGAUGCUCGUGCAGAUGAUGCUUUAAUUAUUGUUUACCUAAUGACUAGAAUCUACACUCUCCGUACUUUACUAUCUAUUCAAGUACUUUUUUUUGGAUGUUUCCAGAACAAUGUGGUAUUUUUGUGUCAAUAUUUAUGUUUCUAAAGAACUCUUUGGGAAGAACAUCCUCAAAACAUCAGUUGUUACUCAGAACAUCAGUUGUGUGGAUUUCUGGGCAUAUUAAUUUUUCUUCAAGUGCUUUAUAAUGGAAUUAUGUUCAGAAUUGAAGUUGAUAGUAUUGUUUGUU